AAGUAUUAAAGGUCCAGCCUGCCCAGUGAACCCAUUUAACGGCCGCGGUAUCCUAACCGUGCAAAGGUAGCGUAAUCACUUGUCUCCCAAUUAGAGACUGGUAUGAACGGCUACAUGAGGGCUAAACUGUCUCCUUUGACCACUCAAUGAAACUGAACCUCCAGUCAAAAAGCUGAAAUAAACCCAUAAGACGAGAAGACCCCGUGGAGCUUUAAGUAACCCACUACUAAAACCACCUUAGGCCAGCCAACGGGCCACUGACACAAUAGACAAAGUAGGGUUGUCACUUUUAGUUGGGGCGACUGCGGAGCAAAACGAAGCCUCCAUGAAAGGACAAACCGCCCACACUAGGCCAACAAGCCAAAUAUAUUAACAAUAUUGACCCAGUCAACUGAUCAUCGAACCAAGUUACCCCGGGGAUAACAGCGCCAUCCUCUUAAAGAGUCCAUAUCGCCAAGAGGGCUUACGACCUCGAUGUUGGAUCAGGACACCCAGGCAGUGCAGCCGCUGCCAAAGGUUCGUUUGUUCAAC
rnacentral:rRNA from 1 species